rnacentral:lncRNA from 1 species
CGGGCAAAGCCGCGCCCAAAAAUAACCGCCCGAAGGCCGGGGCGCCAAGUUCGUCUAGCGGAAAAAGGCCACAAAAACGGGUGGGCUAUAGCCUUGGGGGGUGGGGCUGGCCAACUUCGUCCGCCGGACUCGGAAUGCCGCAAGACUUUGCGAGGGGCCUCCGUGUGCCAAAAAUAGGCCGCGGAUAAAGCCGCGCCCAAAAAUAACCGCCCGAAGGCCGGGGCGCCAAGUUCGUCCAGCGGAAAAAGGCCACAAAAACGGGUGGGCUAUAGCCUUCGGGGGUGGGGCUGGCCAACUUCGUCCGCCGGACUCGGAAUGCCGCGAGACUUUUUGAGGGGCCUCCGUGUGCCAAAAAUAGGCCACGGGCAAAGCUACGCCCAAAACUAACAACCCGAAGGCGGGGGCGCCAAUUUCGUCCUGCGGAAAAAGGCCACAAAAACGGGUGGGCUAUAGCCUUGGGGGGUGGGGCUGGCCAACUUCGUCCGCCGGACUCGGAAUACCGUGAGACUUUGCGAGGGGCCUCCGUGUGCCAAAAAUAGGCCGCGGGCAAAGCCGCGUCAAGAAAUAACCGCCCGAAGGCCGGGGCGCCAAGUUCGUCCAGCGGAAAAAGGCCACAAAAACGGGUGGGCUAUAGCCUUCGGGGGUGGGGCUGGCCAACUUCGUCCGCCGGACUCGGAAUGCCGCGAGACUUUUUGAGGGGCCUCCAUGUGCCAAAAAUAGGCCACGGGCAAAGCUACGGCCAAAAAUAACAACCCGAAGGCCGGGGCGCCAAUNN